rnacentral:rRNA from 1 species
AUUGAACGCUGGCGGCAGGCCUAACACAUGCAAGUCGAACGGCAGCACAGAAGAGCUUGCUCUUUGGGUGGCGAGUGGCGGACGGGUGAGUAAUGUCUGGGAAACUGCCCGAUGGAGGGGGAUAACUACUGGAAACGGUAGCUAAUACCGCAUAACGUCGCGAGACCAAAGUGGGGGAACUUCGGGCCUCACACCAUCGGAUGGGCCCGGAUGGGAUUAGCUAGUAGGUGGGGUAAUGGCUCACCUCGGCGACGAUCCCUAGCUGGUCAGCGAGGAUGACCAGCCACACUGAAACUGAGACACGGUCCAGACUCCUACGGGAGGCAGCAGUGGGGAAUAUUGCACAAUGGGCGCAAGCCUGAUGCAGCCAUGCCGCGUGUAUGAAGAAGGCCUUCGGGUUGUAAAGUACUUUCAGCGGGGAGGAAGGCGGUGAGGUUAAUAACCUCGCCGAUUGACGUUACCCGCAGAAGAAGCACCGGCUAACUCCGUGCCAGCAGCCGCGGUAA